AGGUCCAUCCUAAUGCCUGCGGGUCAGCGGUGGCCUGCCAGGCUUCGCUUGUGGACCAGAGCACCCUAGGAGCCGCACCCAGAGGAGUGAGCACAGCGUCUGUGGGCUCACACGCGGGUGCUUCCAGACACUC